rnacentral:rRNA from 1 species
CGAUUCUGGCUCAGGAUGAACGCUGGCGGCGUGCUUAACACAUGCAAGUCGAACGAAGCCAAAAGGAAGCUUGCUUCUUGAAGCUUAGUGGCGGACGGGUGAGUAACGCGUGAGUAACCUGCCCUUCAGUGGGGAAUAACACAGAGAAAUCUGUGCUAAUACCGCAUAACGUCUUCUUGCCGCAUGACAGGAAGACCAAAGGAUUUAUUCGCUGAAGGAUGGACUCGCGUCCGAUUAGCUAGUUGGUGAGGUAACGGCCCACCAAGGCGACGAUCGGUAGCCGAACUGAGAGGUUGAUCGGCCACAUUGGGACUGAGACACGGCCCAGACUCCUACGGGAGGCAGCAGUGGGGAAUAUUGGGCAAUGGGCCGAAAGCCUGACCCAGCAACGCCGCGUGAAGGAAGACGGUCUUCGGAUUGUAAACUUCUUUGAUUGGGGAAGAACAAAAUGACCUACCCAAAGAACAAGUCACGGCUAACUACGUGCCAGCCGCCGC